AGAGUUUGAUCCUGGCUCAGGAUGAACGCUAGCUACAGGCUUAACACAUGCAAGUCGAGGGGCAGCAUGGUCUUAGCUUGCUAAGGCCGAUGGCGACCGGCGCACGGGUGAGUAACACGUAUCCAACCUGCCGUCUACUCUUGGACAGCCUUCUGAAAGGAAGAUUAAUACAAGAUGGCAUCAUGAGUCCGCAUGUUCACAUGAUUAAAGGUAUUCCGGUAGACGAUGGGGAUGCGUUCCAUUAGAUAGUAGGCGGGGUAACGGCCCACCUAGUCUUCGAUGGAUAGGGGUUCUGAGAGGAAGGUCCCCCACAUUGGAACUGAGACACGGUCCAAACUCCUACGGGAGGCAGCAGUGAGGAAUAUUGGUCAAUGGACGAGAGUCUGAACCAGCCAAGUAGCGUGAAGGAUGACUGCCCUAUGGGUUGUAAACUUCUUUUAUAAAGGAAUAAAGUCGGGUAUGGAUACCCGUUUGCAUGUACUUUAUGAAUAAGGAUCGGCUAACUCCGUGCCAGCAGCCGCGGUAAUACGGAGGAUCCGAGCGUUAUCCGGAUUUAUUGGGUUUAAAGGGAGCGUAGGCGGACGCUUAAGUCAGUUGUGAAAGUUUGCGGCUCAACCGUAAAAUUGCAGUUGAUACUGGGUGUCUUGAGUACAGUAGAGGCAGGCGGAAUUCGUGGUGUAGCGGUGAAAUGCUUAGAUAUCACGAAGAACUCCGAUUGCGAAGGCAGCCUGCUGGACUGUAACUGACGCUGAUGCUCGAAAGUGUGGGUAUCAAACAGGAUUAGAUACCCUGGUAGUCCACACAGUAAACGAUGAAUACUCGCUGUUUGCGAUAUACAGUAAGCGGCCAAGCGAAAGCGUUAAGUAUUCCACCUGGGGAGUACGCCGGCAACGGUGAAACUCAAAGGAAUUGACGGGGGCCCGCACAAGCGGAGGAACAUGUGGUUUAA
rnacentral:rRNA from 1 species